rnacentral:tRNA from 1 species
UUAAUAGAAACCAAAAAGAGGUAAAUCACUGUUAAUGAUUUAAUUGAAAUUAUAUUUCCUAUUAAU